GGAGUAGUGUCUGAGUGGUUGAAGGUAUCCGUCUCGAAAACGGGUGUACCCUGAAAAAGGUACCGGGGGUUCGAAUCCCUCCUACUCCG
rnacentral:tRNA from 2 species